rnacentral:rRNA from 1 species
AUUGAACGCUGGCGGCAGGCUUAACACAUGCAAGUCGAGCGGAGAUGAGGUGCUUGCACCUUAUCUUAGCGGCGGACGGGUGAGUAAUGCUUAGGAAUCUGCCUAUUAGUGGGGGACAACAUUCCGAAAGGAAUGCUAAUACCGCAUACGUCCUACGGGAGAAAGCAGGGGAUCUUCGGACCUUGCGCUAAUAGAUGAGCCUAAGUCGGAUUAGCUAGUUGGUGGGGUAAAGGCCUACCAAGGCGACGAUCUGUAGCGGGUCUGAGAGGAUGAUCCGCCACACUGGGACUGAGACGCGGCCCAGACUCCUACGGGAGGCAGCAGUGGGGAAUAUUGGACAAUGGGGGGAACCCUGAUCCAGCCAUGCCGCGUGUGUGAAGAAGGCCUUAUGGUUGUAAAGCACUUUAAGCGAGGAGGAGGCUACUGAGACUAAUACUCUUGGAUAGUGGACGUUACUCGCAGAAUAAGCACCGGCUAACUCUGUGCCAGCAGCCGCCGCGGUAA